rnacentral:lncRNA from 11 species
GGGGAGGAGAAGGAGGCGGGGCGUGCGCUGUGAUUGGACGGGAGAGAAGGCACCCGGAAGUCUGCUUCUGAGCGCGGAAUCCACGUGGGUGGGAGGCUUUUGGGGUGAAUUUGGGGGAAACAGAGCAGCCAUGGAGAAGGAGAAAGAGAAGCAGAAGAAGAAGAAGCCCCUCCGGAGAUAUUGGGAGGCCGGAGCGGAAGCGGUCAGCGACCCAAAGGCCGUUGAGCCCCAGCUGGACGAUGGGAGGCCGACGAAGAAGAGGGCGGCGAGGGAUGGAGGCCGGGCCCAGACGGGGGGCAUCUCUGGGGUAAGGAUUUGGGGAAGGCAGUUCUGCUAAGAUGUGUCCUCUCGCGCAAUCUGUAGG